GUACGCUGCCCUAACCGAUGCUGUAAUGUCACUCUGUACGCUGCCCUAACCGAUGCUGUAAUAUCACUCGGUACGCUCCCCUAACCGAUGCUGUAAUAUCACUCGGUACGCUCCCCUACCCGAUGCUGUAAUAUCACUGUACGCUGCCCUAACCGAUGCUGUAAUGUCACUCGGUACGCUCCCCUACCCGAUGCUGUAAUGUCACUCGGUACGCUCCCCUACCCGAUGCUGUAAUAUCACUCGGUACGCUCCCCUACCCGAUGCUGUAAUAUCACUCUGUACGCUGCCCUAACCGAUGCUGUAAUGUCACUCGGUACGCUCCCCUACCCGAUGCUGUAAUGUCACUCGGUACGCUCCCCUACCCGAUGUUGUAAUGUCACUCGGUACGCUCCCCUACCCGAUGCUGUAAUGUCACUCGGUACGCUCCCAUACCCGAUGCUGUAAUGUCACUCUGUACGCUGCC